rnacentral:rRNA from 1 species
UACGUAGGGGGCGAGCGUUGUCCGGAAUUACUGGGCGUAAAGAGCUCGUAGGUGGUUUGUCGCGUUGUUCGUGAAAACUCACAGCUCAACUGUGGGCGUGCGGGCGAUACGGGCAGACUGGAGUACUGCAGGGGAGACUGGAAUUCCUGGUGUAGCGGUGGAAUGCGCAGAUAUCAGGAGGAACACCGGUGGCGAAGGCGGGUCUCUGGGCCUUACCUGACGCUGAGGAGCGAAAGCGUGGGGAGCAAACAGG